rnacentral:rRNA from 1 species
AUUGAACGCUGGCGGCAUGCUUUACACAUGCAAGUCGGACGGCAGCACAGAGAAGCUUGCUUCUUGGGUGGCGAGUGGCGAACGGGUGAGUAACAUAUCGGAACGUACCGAGCAGUGGGGGAUAACUAAUCGAAAGAUUAGCUAAUACCGCAUAUAUUCUGAGGAAGAAAGCAGGGGACCAUUUGGCCUUGCGCUGUUUUGAGCGGCCGAUAUCUGAUUAGCUAGUUGGUGGGGUAAAGGCCUACCAAGGCGACGAUCAGUAGCGGGUCUGAGAGGAUGAUCCGCCACACUGGGACUGAGACACGGCCCAGACUCCUACGGGAGGCAGCAGUGGGGAAUUUUGGACAAUGGGCGCAAGCCUGAUCCAGCCAUGCCGCGUGUCUGAAGAAGGCUUCGGGUUGUAAAGGACUUUUGUCAGGGAAGAAAAGGAUAGGGUUAAUACCCCUGUCUGAUGACGACCUGAAGAAUAA